rnacentral:tRNA from 1 species
GGCGCGGUGGCCAAGUGGUAAGGCGUUCUGUAACCCAAAGAUCGUGGAUUCAAACCCCACCUGUUUCG